GACGAACGCUGGCGGCGUGCCUAAUACAUGCAAGUCGAACGCAGUGGGGACGGGUGCGUAACACGUGGGUAACCUCCCAUCAGAGGGGAUAACACUUGUCAACAGGUGCUAAACCGAUAAUGCUGUAUGUACCCGCGGUUCAUUAGCUAGUUGGUGAGGUAACGGCUCACCAAGGCCACGAUGCAUAGCCGACCGGAGAGGGUGAUCGGCCACACUGGGAAUGAGACAUGGCCCAGACGCCUACGGGAGGAAGCAGGAGGGAAUCUUCGGCAAUGGAAGAAAGUCUGAACGAGCAACGCCGCGUGAGUGAAGAAGGUUUUCGGAUCGUAAAACUCUGUGGUUAGAGAAGCGGUAUCUAACCAGAAAGCCACGGCUAACUACGUGCCAGCAGCCGCGGUAAUAC
rnacentral:rRNA from 1 species